GGUUUUUUGGAUUUAAUGGAAAAUCGAACCUGCCCAUUGAUUAAAAGGCUGCAGUAAUUUGACUGUACAAAGGUAGCAUAAUCAUUAGCUUUUUAAUUGAAGGCUAGAAUGAAGGGUUUGACAAGGCUAAACUGUCUCUAAUAUAUGUAAUGAACUUUUUUUUAUGUGAAAAGUCAUAAAUAAAUCAAUGGGACGAGAAGACCCUAUUAAACUUAAUAUUUAUUAUUAGUGUUAAAAAUUAAAUUUUACUGGGGCGGUAAAUAACUUAAAUUUUAUAUUAUGAUUUUUUAAAAUGGGAUCUUAUUGAUUGAUAGAAAGAAUAAGUUACUAUAGGGAUAACAGCGUAAUUUUUUUUGAGAGUUCAUAUUGACAAUAAAGAUUGCGACCUCGAUGUUGGAUUAAGAGUACUGUAAAGUGUAGAAGUUUUAUUAGUGGAUUUGUUCAAUCUUUAAAUUCUU
rnacentral:rRNA from 1 species